ACGAAUUGGGAUAAUCAUAAGGUGCUGCUAAGUAUUACCCAUCAGCCUCUAGAUGUUCUCUUUUUAGGUUAUCACCCUAACUCAAAAGUCAAUGAUACUCUGUCUUACACAACUGUGGAACCUAUUCAUAAGGCACAACAAGAUUUUUAAAAACAUUUGUACUUAGGGACUUUCCAAUGGGACAGGCAAAAGAAUUAUACGUUAUGUAUAUUCUCCAUACUGUCAAGGCUCAGAUUUGUUUCCAGUGUCAUAAAUCAUCAUAAUUAACAACCUUUCAACCAAAUGGAUCCCAAAGCACUUUCCAAAUUAUGCAACUUUGGAGGUGAAUUGCCUCAGCUGUCCAACAGCUGUCAGCAGCACUCUGCAACAGGGACUGAGCAAGAGGGAGGACGCAGAUUCUCCACGGAACUCUUCGCAGCAUUUAGUGCAGGCCCAGAUGAUUCAUGGUAAACUUUCCAGGAUAUUCUCUUAAUUCUGUGUUGUCCAACUAAGGAGUACAGGGGAUCUGCAAAGUUGUAAAAUCAAGGUGGUAAAGAUUCUUGGAGCUUCUAAUAUAUUCAAAAGUUUGAGCUAUGUGUCAGUCCCUGGGGAUCAAGUGAAGGAGGUACAGCUUCUUCAGUCACAGACUGUCUUGUCAUGUGGAUACAGGAAAGACCUAACAAGAAAAAGGCAUAGCCAAAAUGCAAAACCACCUACCUACACAGAGAACAACAGCAUAGUCUGAUCUGUUUCCACCAGCCAGCAAAAGUGAACCUGAUUUCAGAAUAAAAGGCUGGAAAAUAUUACUUAUGAAGUUAAGCAUUAUUUUUGCUUUAAAUUGAAGCUGAAACCCUGCUUGACACCGCUACUCUGCUAAUCCUGGUUGUCUUUUAAAAAGAAAAUGCUUAGGAUACCUAAACAAUCUUGAUAAAAAGAUUUCUACAUCUUUUAAUUAAAUGAGAGGCCAAUCUACUAAGCUAACAAAAAGAACUACAUUCAGGAAUGCAACAGAUUCUGCCUACUCCAUUUGGCAUGAUUCCUUAAAAAUAAAUAACUACUUCAUGAGUUGUGCAAGUAAAAAUAAGAUAUUGUGUGCACUAAAAACAUUUCCUCAAGGAGCAUCCAGGCUGGGCUCAUGAAGCCCACUUGUCACCAGCAUCAAGCCGCCCAUCCAGGCACCAUCCAGGAGGGUGAGUCUUCUCUUCCUAGUCUAGGGCGGAGGGUCAUUCAUGCACUGGACUGGAGUUAAGAGGCUUGAACCUGAGCUGACAAUGAACAGGACUGGGAGAGGCUCAACUAUCCUGGGUUCAGAUGACAGUUUGUAGGUAUCAGAAUAAGUACAGGGGCAGCUGGUGCACAGACCCUGGAAAAUUCACUGACACACGGUGAAUAUAUAAAUAUCAUGUCUCAUUCUCUGUGGUGUAAAACCACACAAAUGCAACUUAGGCUUUAUAAAAUGCCCAGAUUACUAAGUAGCCAAAGAAAUAUAAGAAAAAAAUCUGUGAAUUGAUUCUGUGUGAAACCUGGCUCAUGAUAGUAAAACAGGCUUAGUGUGUUUGUGUUUUAUUUUUCCAAAUACAUAAUUUGAAAAUACACAUGGCUGUGCCCAUUUUUAAAUGACAUUUAUUCAAUCAUUCAUUCACCAAGUGUUUAUUGAGCACCUACUUUGUGUUCAACACUCUUGUAGGCACUGUGUAAUAUAUAUACAUAUAUAUAUCAAUGAAGGAAGGCCCCUUGCCUUUAGGAAGCCUACACUCCAAUGGAAGUGGGCAAAAACAGUUAACGUGUACACAAAUAAAUAACUUUGAUAAGGUCAGAAGACUAAAACAAAGCCAAAUAAGGUAAUGAAAAAAAAAAAAAAGAGAGACACACGGGAGGCCACUGGAGAUGGGGCAGCCAAAGAAGUUUCUCUGAGGAGAUGACAGCUGAGCUGAGGUAUGAAGGUCGAGAAGAAGCCAGUCACUCCAGGAAAAAGGGAUUCCAAGAACACAGGUCCUGAGACAGGAGAGAUUCUAAAUUCCCACCUUUUUCAUGAAAUCUUCCCUUUUUCAAUGAAGACGACACAAUGAAGACUACCUAUUAUUCACUUUAUAGACAUUUCAGUUUGGCUAUAGAACUAUUGAGGUAAUUAUUUUGAUUAUUACCAAAUACUCACUUCUUCAACAACAUUCACUGGGCACCUCCUGAAGGCCAGGCAUGGUGCUAGCUCUGGAGGAUACCGAAUAAUGUCAGCACACAGCCCCAAAACGACGUGUGGCACGAGGCCAGCAGGAACACAGACACUAAACCAAGGCUCUUCUGCCCAGAAGGAUGCUCUACUUGCAAACACCUUGCUGAGGAAGGAUUUGAAUGUAGUGCUUACAUAACACGUAAGUCUUGUAGCUUAGAAACUUGAAACUGCUUGACUGCAUAGUAAACACUUCCCCCUCCCAUACUUGUACCCUCACUCAGGUUUCUUCACUAACCUGUAGACUCCAUUUGUCUUUGUAUUCCCCCCAUUUUUGCUAAACCAGGA
rnacentral:lncRNA from 10 species